rnacentral:lncRNA from 1 species
UAUUUUAGUACAGAGGCUGCGCGUGCGGCACCGGGAGUGCUGGGAGGGACUGGUUUGGACUGGGAGCACUGGUUUGUAAUGGGAGCACUGGUUCAUACUGGGAUCCCUGUUCCAUACUGGAAUCAUUGGUCCAUACUGGGAGCACUGGUUCAUACUGGGAGCACUGGUUCAUACUGGAAUCAUUGGUCCAUACUGGGAGCACUGGUUCAUACUGGGAUCCCUGUUCCAUACUGGGAUCAUUGGUCCAUACUGGGAGCACUGGUUUUUACUGGGCCCGGCCCCCCAGCACCACGCAGAGCCCGCGGAUCUUUCUGGAAAGUUUUUAAUCAGAACCUGGAAAAUCCAACGCAGAGGGGGCGUGGCCUGGGCUUGGCCCCUCCCCCCAGUGUCCCCGCACCCAGGGGCGGUGCCCGGGGCGGGGCUACAGCAGGACAGAAAUGGGGGGAAGGGAGGCCCCACCCCCGGCCCCGCCCCUCCCCCACCCAUACCGGGGCCUUCCUGAGUGCGGGGGGAGGGGCAGCCCUGGGGGGAGGGGCGGGGACAGCUCUGUCCCCAACGUGGGGGGGAGGGGCAGGGGACACCGGCAGGGGGAGGGGACACCCCCACCCCCCCUAAGGCCACCCCCGGACUGUCCCCGUGUCCCCCGUAAGGCUCAGGGACCCCCAGGAUGUCCCCACGCGUCCCCUGGGCCACCCCCGGCUGCUCCUGAGCCACCCGGGAUGUCCCCAAAGCCACCCGGGAUGUCCCCAAAGCCACCCGGGAUGUCCCUGCGCCAUCCACGAUGUCCCCCAGGACCCCUCAGAAGGGCCCUGGGCCACCUCUCCUGUCCCCAGAGGUCCCUGUCCCCAAUGAGCCUCCCCAGAAGGUGCCACCAGGAUGUCCCCAUGAAUGAAACCCCGGCCCUGUCCCCAAGGCCCAUCCAGGAUGUCCCCGGGUGUAUCCAGGCGGUCUCAGCUCCAUCCAGGGCUCCCAGGUCCAUCCAGGGCUCCUGGGUCCAUCCAGGUCCAUCCUGGUGCUCCCGUGUCCCCCCGUGGGUGUCCCCUCCAUGUCCGUGGCUCCGUGGCCACCCCAGAGGCACUCCCAGGUCACCGUGUCCGUGUCCCCAGAGCUCCAUGGCCCCUCCUGGGUCACCGUGUCCGUGUCCCCGGAGCUCCAUGGCCACCCCAUGUCCCCAGCACACACGUGUGGCUCAGAGUUUGAGCUCCACGGCCACCUUGGAGGCACUCCUGGGUCACCGUGUCCGUGUCCCCGGAGCUCCAUGGCCACUCCCGGUC